CCUACGGGCGGCAGCAGUGGGGAAUAUUGGGCACUGGGCGCAAGCCUGACCCAGCAACGCCGCGUGAAGGAAGAAGGCUUUCGGGUUUUAAACUUCUUUUCUGAGAGACGCAGAAAGUGACGGUACCUCAGGAAUAAGCCACGGCUAACUACGUGCCAGCAGCCGCGGUAAUACGGAUGUGGCAAGCGUUAUCAGGAUUUAUUGGGUGAAAAGGGCGUGUAGGAGGGAAAGCAAGUCAGAUGUGAAAACUCAGGGCUCAACCCUGAGACUGCAUUUGAAACUGAUUGUCUUGAGUGCUGGAGAGGCAAUCGGAAUUCCGUGUGUAGCGGUGAAAUGCGUAGAUAUACGGAGGAACACCAGUUGCGAAGGCGGAUUGCUAGACAGUAACUGACGCUGAGGCGCGAAAGCGUGGGGAGCAAACAGGAUUAGAUACCCUUGUAGUC
rnacentral:rRNA from 1 species